rnacentral:rRNA from 1 species
UAGGGAAUCUUCGGUAAUGGACGGAAAGUCUGACCGAGCAACGCCGCGUGAGUGAAGAAGGUUUUCGGAUCGUAAAACUCUGUUGGUAGAGAAGAACGUUGGUGAGAGUGGAAAGCUCAUCAAGUGACGGUAACUACCCAGAAAGGGACGGCUAACUACGUGCCA